rnacentral:rRNA from 1 species
AUUGAACGCUGGCGGCAGGCUUAACACAUGCAAGUCGAGCGGGGUGAUGGUGCUUGCACUAUCACUUAGCGGCGGACGGGUGAGUAAUGCUUAGGAAUCUGCCUAUUAGUGGGGGACAACAUCUCGAAAGGGAUGCUAAUACCGCAUACGUCCUACGGGAGAAAGCAGGGGAUCACUUGUGACCUUGCGCUAAUAGAUGAGCCUAAGUCGGAUUAGCUAGUUGGUGGGGUAAAGGCCUACCAAGGCGACGAUCUGUAGAGGGUCUGAGAGGAUGAUCCGCCACACUGGGACUGAGACACGGCCCAGACUCCUACGGGAGGCAGCAGUGGGGAAUAUUGGACAAUGGGGGGAACCCUGAUCCAGCCAUGCCGCGUGUGUGAAGAAGGCCUUAUGGUUGUAAAGCACUUUAAGCGAGGAGGAGGCUCCUUUGGUUAAUACCCAAGAUGAGUGGACGUUACUCGCAGAAUAAGCACCGGCUAACUCUGUGCCAGCCGCCGCGGUAA